rnacentral:rRNA from 3 species
AAAUUGAAGAGUUUGAUCAUGGCUCAGAUUGAACGCUGGCGGCAGGCCUAACACAUGCAAGUCGAACGGUAACAGGAAGCAGCUUGCUGCUUUGCUGACGAGUGGCGGACGGGUGAGUAAUGUCUGGGAAACUGCCUGAUGGAGGGGGAUAACUACUGGAAACGGUGGCUAAUACCGCAUAACGUCGCAAGACCAAAGAGGGGGACCUUCGGGCCUCUUGCCAUCAGAUGUGCCCAGAUGGGAUUAGCUAGUUGGUGAGGUAACGGCUCACCAAGGCGACGAUCCCUAGCUGGUCUGAGAGGAUGACCAGCCACACUGGAACUGAGACACGGUCCAGACUCCUACGGGAGGCAGCAGUGGGGAAUAUUGCACAAUGGGCGCAAGCCUGAUGCAGCCAUGCCGCGUGUAUGAAGAAGGCCUUCGGGUUGUAAAGUACUUUCAGCGGGGAGGAAGGUGUUGUGGUUAAUAACCGCAGCAAUUGACGUUACCCGCAGAAGAAGCACCGGCUAACUCCGUGCCAGCAGCCGCGGUAAUACGGAGGGUGCAAGCGUUAAUCGGAAUUACUGGGCGUAAAGCGCACGCAGGCGGUCUGUCAAGUCGGAUGUGAAAUCCCCGGGCUCAACCUGGGAACUGCAUUCGAAACUGGCAGGCUUGAGUCUUGUAGAGGGGGGUAGAAUUCCAGGUGUAGCGGUGAAAUGCGUAGAGAUCUGGAGGAAUACCGGUGGCGAAGGCGGCCCCCUGGACAAAGACUGACGCUCAGGUGCGAAAGCGUGGGGAGCAAACAGGAUUAGAUACCCUGGUAGUCCACGCCGUAAACGAUGUCUACUUGGAGGUUGUGCCCUUGAGGCGUGGCUUCCGGAGCUAACGCGUUAAGUAGACCGCCUGGGGAGUACGGCCGCAAGGUUAAAACUCAAAUGAAUUGACGGGGGCCCGCACAAGCGGUGGAGCAUGUGGUUUAAUUCGAUGCAACGCGAAGAACCUUACCUGGUCUUGACAUCCACAGAAGAAUCCAGAGAUGGAUUUGUGCCUUCGGGAACUGUGAGACAGGUGCUGCAUGGCUGUCGUCAGCUCGUGUUGUGAAAUGUUGGGUUAAGUCCCGCAACGAGCGCAACCCUUAUCCUUUGUUGCCAGCGAUUAGGUCGGGAACUCAAAGGAGACUGCCAGUGAUAAACUGGAGGAAGGUGGGGAUGACGUCAAGUCAUCAUGGCCCUUACGACCAGGGCUACACACGUGCUACAAUGGCGCAUACAAAGAGAAGCGACCUCGCGAGAGCAAGCGGACCUCAUAAAGUGCGUCGUAGUCCGGAUUGGAGUCUGCAACUCGACUCCAUGAAGUCGGAAUCGCUAGUAAUCGUGGAUCAGAAUGCCACGGUGAAUACGUUCCCGGGCCUUGUACACACCGCCCGUCACACCAUGGGAGUGGGUUGCAAAAGAAGUAGGUAGCUUAACCUUCGGGAGGGCGCUUACCACUUUGUGAUUCAUGACUGGGGUGAAGUCGUAACAAGGUAACCGUAGGGGAACCUGCGGUUGGAUCACCUCCUUA